UACGUAGGGUGCAGGCGUUAAUCGGAAUUACUGGGCGUAAAGCGUGCGCAGGCGGUUUGCUAAGAAAGGUGUGAAAUCCCCGGGCUUAACCUGGGAACUGCGCUUGUAACUGGCAAGCUUGAGUGUGGCAGAGGGGGGUGGAAUUCCACGUGUAGCAGUGAAAUGCGUAGAGAUGUGGAGGAACACCGAUGGCGAAGGCAGCCCCCUGGGCUAACACUGACGCUCAUGCACGAAAGCGUGGGGAGCAAACAGG
rnacentral:rRNA from 1 species